AUUGAACGCUGGCGGCAGGCCUAACACAUGCCAGUCGAGCGGAUGAAGGGAGCUUGCUCCUGGAUUCAGCGGCGGACGGGUGAGUAAUGCCUAGGAAUCUGCCUGGUCGUGGGGGAUAACGUCCGGAAACGGGCGCUAAUACCGCAUACGUCCUGAGGGAGAAAGUGGGGGAUCUUCGGACCUCACGCUAUCAGAUGAGCCUAGGUCGGAUUAGCUAGUUGGUGGGGUAAAGGCCUACCAAGGCGACGAUCCGUAACUGGUCUGAGAGGAUGAUCAGUCACACUGGAACUGAGACACGGUCCAGACUCCUACGGGAGGCAGCAGUGGGGAAUAUUGGACAAUGGGCGAAAGCCUGAUCCAGCCAUGCCGCGUGUGUGAAGAAGGUCUUCGGAUUGUAAAGCACUUUAAGUUGGGAGGAAGGGCAGUAAGUUAAUACCUUGCUGUUUUGACGUUACCAACAGAAUAAGCACCGGCUAACUUCGUG
rnacentral:rRNA from 1 species